GGGUAGAUGGUGGUAGUUAAUACCAUUGGUUUAUGUAUUUCAUGAUAUUGGUAUGUGAACUUGAAGUUAAGGAGCACAUAUAUCUCAUUAAUCUCUCAAAGCAUCCUCUCCAAAGGCUUCAACACAUUGGGAGAUCCUUCUUUUCUCGGUUCAGCAACUAUGGCUGCAAUUCAGCACAACCCCCCCUUUGUGAAGAAGUACCAUACUGUAACGCACGCCGAAAGUCUUGAGUUAUGGAUGAACGUGGGAAAUGCGCAUAACAAAGCGGAAUGGUAGAAUCCGGGUGAAGCGUGGUUGGAGCCACUUCAAACGAGUUAACAGACUCCAGAAAGGAAUGACUUGUUCUUUCUAUCUAGUGGACACAGAGGAGGUUCACUUCUAUGUCAUAAUUCAGCCAUAACCAACGUCGGUAAACGGGAAGGUAUUGCAAUCCGAACUACCUAUAUUUUGAAAUCCAUGUUCAUCUGCAUCGUGUGCUAAUUUUACUUGUUGUACACAUGUUGAAUGCUGAUCAUUUUCAUCUGUGAAACUAGUUAUUUGGCUAUCUAAACAACAACAAAAAACUUAGGUAUUUCAUUUUGUUUGGUGUUGUAUUAUUUACGCAUCUAUCAAAUGGAUUGGGUCUAGUUAGUGCA